UAGGGAAUCUUCGGCAAUGGGGGGAACCCUGACCGAGCAACGCCGCGUGAGUGAAGAAGGUUUUCGGAUCGUAAAGCUCUGUUGUUAAGGAAGAACGAGUGUGAGAAUGGAAAGUUCAUACUGUGACGGUACUUAACCAGAAAGGGACGGCUAAAUUACUGGNNAGCANCCGCGGUAAUACGUAGGUCCCGAGCGUUGUCCGGAUUUAUUGGGCGUAAAGCGAGCGCAGGCGGUUAGAUAAGUCUGAAGUUAAAGGCAGUGGCUCAACCAUUGUAGGCUUUGGAAACUGUUUAACUUGAGUGCAGAAGGGGAGAGUGGAAUUCCAUGUGUAGCGGUGAAAUGCGUAGAUAUAUGGAGGAACACCGGUGGCGAAAGCGGCUCUCUGGUCUGUAACUGGCGCUGAGGCUCGAAAGCGUGGGGAGCGAACAGGAUUAGAUACCCUGGUAGUCCACGCCGUANCGAUGAGUGCUANGUGUUAGGUCCUUUCCGGGACUUNNGNANNNUNCNCAUUAAGCACUCCGCCUGGNGGAGUACGACCGCAAGGUUGA
rnacentral:rRNA from 1 species